GGUCAAUGAAACUUUAAAUAAACUAGAAAAGCCGGAUCCUACUCGUAUCAUUUUCAAAGAAACGGGCAAUAAAUGAAUUUGGCAUAACCGUUUGGGUGACAACAAACAUGCUAAAUCUGAUCUUAUUGGUAGGAGCUCUAAAUGUUCUGUUAAAUCAUAAGCCGAUUCUUGGAGUUUCAAAUGUUUAUCGAAGUUUUCAACUGAAUGUAAACAGCGUCGAUGAUUUUCUGCACACACGUAAAAUGCAGCAGGAUGCUGUUCUUCCUGGCCUAUCUAUGGGAUUGCAAGAUCAACCUAUUACUUUUACCAAUGAUUCUGAUGAUGACCACAGUCAUCGAGCAGGCGAACAAUCAGAAACUCGGCUGAACAAAAAACUGAGUCUACCUCAGUUGAGCUCUAUUUUUCAUUUGCAUAGAAAUAAUAAAACAGAUAUGGAAGUUCAGAAUUUUCGGAACGAAAACCCUCUGGAAAUUAAAAACAGCUAUGAAGAGAAGAGGCAAACAUCAAUAUCUGAAAAAUCACACGGUAUUACAAAUGAGGUAUCCAGGAGUACUCUUGGAAGAAUGCUUUUCAGAAACAAAUCUCAACCAAAGUAUUUUGAUAGAUUUGACACAUUUGCUCCUUUGGAGAAUUCUCAAAAACUGCUGUGGUCAGUAAGCGAACUAUGUUGUUCUUAUCAACCAGAGAGGGAGAUAAAUAAAGUUACACAUAAUUCACAAGUAGCGGUUAACGAUUAUAUUUUGCCAAAAAUCUACGAUACCACAAACAAAUUUGAGGAGAAAUAUUUGGAUAAAACAGAAAAAUACCCUAAUCUGUAAGAUGAAUCCGAAGAAACAGACUUAACAUCUCCAGAUCUGUUAUUUCCAUGGAAACAUAUAAUAAAAUCUCAAAACGUCAAAGAAGGUGACAUUUUGGAUCAUCAAAAUCAAACGUUCACGGAAAGAAAAUCCCUAUCGGGCUUCAAUUCCAAUAAGAACUUUCAUAACAUUGAUUGUGAAAAAGACGAGAAAGAAGACAGAAUAAACGAAAACAAGGAAGGAAAUAACAACUUCAAAAGAAAUCACAAAGUCUAUGGACAAUCAAGUAAGAAAAAUGUGAAGAAAUCACAUUCUAGAUUCAAUAGAGUUGUCAGAUAUUUUCCCUUAAGAAAUCGCAGCUGGACAACUUUGUACCAAAAUCCAUUAUGGAAAUACAGAACAAUGAUGAGACAUUUGCCCUGGAUAAAUAAACCUUUCUGGAUCCCAUACUCCGUUUAUAUUCAUUAGAAAAAAAUUCACAGUUUUGUUACAUAGAAUUACAUUUGAUCUUAGUUAGUAAUUCAGCUUGCAAAAUAUUAAUUAUGUAAAAUGCAUUAUUUCUAGAAAUCAGAUUAUUAAGUUAUGAAGCGGGUUUUUUUCUUGGCAAUAAGAUUUUAAAUGUC